GAUACUUAGGCUCCCCAGAGAAAUUAGUCACAAGUCUUAUCCCUUCAUCUCCAUUUACAGCCAUUUAUUUGGGAGCAACAUACUUUAAAUGAGUGAUAAACAAAGUGUCUCCCCACAGCCCCCACCCCAGCAUGUGUUCUGAAGUUCACAGGAAGGCUUCUCCUCAUUUGCUUUGGGGCCCGCAGGCUGCCUGCUAACAGCUGGGUCUUCCCAUGAACAAAUUAGACAGUUAAUGUUCCAGGAUGAAGAGGGCUUCGGGGAACAGAAUCUGCCGUUUAUUUGACUUGCUUCAUUAGACACAGUGCCAUCAUACCAAAAUUAGAAAAAAGAAGGAACUCAGCGGAAAUCAGCUACACAAGAACCUCUCAGUUCUGAGAAUUCACAUUAACCAGUGAUUAAGAAAUAUUAAAAAGGUGUAGUUCUUGGCUGUGCUGAGGAUCUGUAAGGCACCAGAUGUGAAAGUAAGGAAGAAAGAUGGAUGUGGAAGUAAGUCACUGCCCAGAGAAUAAGGAGACCUGGAUUCUAAUCUCAGCUCUGCCAUUAACUAGCUGUGAGACUCAAGAAUAACUAAUCAUU
rnacentral:lncRNA from 1 species